rnacentral:rRNA from 1 species
AGAGUUUGAUCAUGGCUCAGAACGAACGCUGGCGGCAUGCCUAACACAUGCAAGUCGAACGCUUGCCGGGCUUCGGUUCGGCAGGAGUGGCGCACGGGUGAGUAGCGCGUGGGAACCUGCCCUGUUGUGGGGGAUAACCGAGGGAAACUUCGGCUAAUACCGCAUGCGCCCGGGGAAACCCGGGGAAAGAUUUAUCGCAGCAGGAGGGGCCCGCGUCGGAUUAGCUAGUUGGUGGGGUAACGGCCCACCAAGGCUUUGAUCCGUAGCUGGUCUGAGAGGAUGAUCAGCCACACUGGGACUGAGACACGGCCCAGACUCCUACGGGAGGCAGCAGUGGGGAAUAUUGGACAAUGGGCGCAAGCCUGAUCCAGCAAUGCCGCGUGAGUGAUGAAGGCCUUAGGGUUGUAAAGCUCUUUCGCCCGCGACGAUGAUGACGGUAGCGGGAGAAGAAGCCCCGGCUAACUUCGUGCCAGCAGCCGCGGUAAUACGAAGGGGGCGAGCGUUGUUCGGAUUUACUGGGCGUAAAGGGCGCGUAGGCGGCCCUCCUAGUCGCGUGUGAAAGCCCCGGGCUCAACCUGGGAAUUGCGCGCGAAACGGGGGGGCUUGAGUUCGGGAGAGGAGCGUGGAAUUCCCAGUGUAGAGGUGAAAUUCGUAGAUAUUGGGAAGAACACCGGUGGCGAAAGCGGCGCUCUGGACCGAGACUGACGCUGAGCGCGAAAGCGUGGGGAGCAAACAGGAUUAGAUACCCUGGUAGUCACGCCGUAAACGAUGUGUGCUAGACGUUGGGGAGCCUAGCUCUUCGGUGUCGCCGCAAACGCUUAAGCACACCGCUGGGGAGUACGGCGCAAGGUAAAACUCAAAGGAAUUGACGGGGCCCGCACAAGCGGUGGAGCAUGUGGUUUAAUUCGACGCAACGCGAAGAACCUUACCAGCUCUUGACAUG